rnacentral:sRNA from 1 species
GUGUACCACGCGUACACCGCGGUUCCUUCGUACCGUCGACGCCACCUGACGGCCGCUCGUUACGUUUGUUGGCC